CCUACAGGAGGCAGCAGUGGGGGAUAUUGCACAAUGGGGGCAACCCUGAUGCAGCGACGCCGCGUGAGCGAUGGAGUACUUCGGUAUGUAAAGCUCUGUCAGCAGGGAAGAGAAUGACGGUACCUGACCAAGAAGCCCCGGCUAAAUACGUGCCAGCAGCCGCGGUAAUACGUAUGGGGCAAGCGUUAUCCGGAUUUACUGGGUGUAAAGGGAGCGUAGGCGGCAGGGCAAGCCUGAUGUGAAAGCCCGGGGCUCAACCCCGGGACUGCAUUGGGAACUGCCCCGCUCGAGUGCCGGAAGGGCAGGCGGGAUUUCUAGUGUAGCGGUGAAAUGCGUAGGUAUUAGGAGGAACACCAGUGGCGAAGGCGGCCUGCUGGACGGUGUACUGACGCUGAGGCUCGAAAGCGUGGGGAGCAAACAGGAUUAGAUACCCCUGUAGUC
rnacentral:rRNA from 1 species